rnacentral:rRNA from 1 species
GUACGUAGGGUGCAAGCGUUGUCCGGAAUUAUUGGGCGUAAAGAGCUCGUAGGCGGUUUGUCGCGUCUGGUGUGAAAAUCCAGAGCUUAACCCUGGACCUGCAUCGGGUACGGGCAGACUAGAGUGCGGUAGGGGAGAUCGGAAUUCCUGGUGGUAGCGGUGAAAUGCGCAGAUAUCAGGAGGAACACCGGUGGCGAAGGCGGAUCUCUGGGCCGUAACUGACGCUGAGGAGCGAAAGCAUGGGGAGCGAACAGG